rnacentral:rRNA from 1 species
UACGUAGGGUGCGAGCGUUAAUCGGAAUUACUGGGCGUAAAGGGUGCGCAGGCGGUUCUGCAAGUCAGGCGUGAAAUCCCCGGGCUUAACCUGGGAAUGGCGCUUGAAACUACGGGACUGGAGUAUGGCAGAGGGAGGUGGAAUUCCACGUGUAGCGGUGAAAUCCGUAGAGAUGUGGAGGAACACCGAUGGCGAAGGCAGCCCCCUGGGCCAAUACUGACGCUCAGGCACGAAAGCGUGGGGAGCAAACAGG